rnacentral:rRNA from 1 species
UACGGAGGGGGCUAGCGUUGUUCGGAAUCACUGGGCUUAAAGGGCGCGUAGGCGGGUGCUCAAGUCCGGGGUGAAAUCCUCCAGCUCAACUGGAGAACUGCCUCGGAUACUGGGUGCCUCGAGUGUGGUAGGGGUGUGCGGAACUAUCGGUGGAGCGGUGAAAUGCGUUGAUAUCGAUAGGAACUCCGGUGGCGAAGGCGGCACACUGGACCACAACUGACGCUGAGGCGCGAAAGCCAGGGGAGCAAACGGG